rnacentral:rRNA from 1 species
CGGCCCCCUGGACAAGACUGACGCUCAGGUGCGAAAGCGUGGGGAGCAAACAGGAUUAGAUACCUGGUAGUCACGCUGUAAACGAUGUCGAUUUGGAGGUUGUUCCCUUGAGGAGUGGCUUCCGGAGCUAACGCGUUAAAUCGACCGCUGGGGAGUACGGCCGCAAGGUUAAAACUCAAAUGAAUUGACGGGGGCCCGCACAAGCGGUGGAGCAUGUGGUUUAAUUCGAUGCAACGCGAAGAACCUUACCUACUCUUGACAUCCAGAGAAUUUAGCAGAGAUGCUUUAGUGCCUUCGGGAACUCUGAGACAGGUGCUGCAUGGCUGUCGUCAGCUCGUGUUGUGAAAUGUUGGGUUAAGUCCCGCAACGAGCGCAACCCUUAUCCUUUGUUGCCAGCACGUUAUGGUGGGAACUCAAAGGAGACUGCCGGUGAUAAACCGGAGGAAGGUGGGGAUGACGUCAAGUCAUCAUGGCCCUUACGAGUAGGGCUACACACGUGCUACAAUGGCGUAUACAAAGAGAAGCGACCUCGCGAGAGCAAGCGGAACUCAUAAAGUACGCCGUAGUCCGGAUUGGAGUCUGCAACUCGACUCCAUGAAGUCGGAAUCGCUAGUAAUCGUAGAUCAGAAUGCUACGGUGAAUACGUUCCCGGGCCUUGUACACACCGCCCGUCACACCAUGGGAGUGGGUUGCAAAAGAAGUAGGUAGCUUAACCUUCGGGAAGGCGCUUACCACUUUGUGAUUCAUGACUGGGGUGAAGUCGUAACAAGGUAACCA